UACGGAGGUCCCGAGCGUUGUCCGGAUCUAUUGGGCGUAAAGCGAGCGCAGGUGGUUUAUUAAGUCUGGUGUAAAAGGCAGUGGCUCAACCAUUGUAUGCAUUGGAAACUGGUAGACUUGAGUGCAGGAGAGGAGAGUGGAAUUCCAUGUGUAGCGGUGAAAUGCGUAGAUAUAUGGAGGAACACCGGUGGCGAAAGCGGCUCUCUGGCCUGUAACUGACACUGAGGCUCGAAAGCGUGGGGAGCAAACAGG
rnacentral:rRNA from 1 species